rnacentral:tRNA from 1 species
GCCCCUGUAGCUCAGUGGAUAGAGCGUCUGCCUCCGGAGCAGAAGGUCGCUGGUUCGAAUCCAGUCGGGGGUACCA